GCAGUGGAGAUUCUGCCAAAAAGUAACGUAACAUCAGGAGUAGAAAAGAGUGAGCCAGAGUGGAAUUGGGUGUCCGGGAAGCAUUGCAAGUUCAGAGCCAACAUAUGAUAUUCUCUGAAAGUUACAGAUUACAAUAAAUCAUGCCAUUCACACAAGUUCGUACAGGUAUUUAAUUGCUUCUUUGAAAGGUUUGGCAGAUACAUCAAGCCAGUUCAUUAAUGCACAGAUGAUUCCUUCACAUUAAGAAAGACACAUUGGAGCACCAUAAAUGUCAAGGCAGUUAUUACGCACAAAAAGCAUAAAAUGGCAACCAUCAAAAGGUUCAUAGCCAAAGGGACUUGCCUUGUUUCAGUUGAGGCUUUGGACUUGGAACUUUGAGAAUAACCAGCAAUGUUGCAGAAAUUAUCUGCUAUAUCACCCUGGUCCCAACUUGCAGAAGAUGGGAAGCAGAGCUCCCAGCCUGCCCAAGAUGAACAUGUGGUAUAGACAAGAAAUACACCUUUGUUCUUUUAAGCUUC